rnacentral:lncRNA from 1 species
UGAAUAUACAUUGGCUCAUGAGUCAUUGGUUUAGGGUUUGGUAACAUAUGUUAUAGUAUUGUAUGUAUCUUUAGAGUUAGAUUCUGAAAUCUUACCUUCAUUUUUUUUUUCAAAUUGACCUAUAUAUAUGUUUAGUAACUAUUUAAUAACUUGAUUUAAACACUCUCUAAGUUUUUUUUUAAAGUUUAAGAAAGCGUUAUUUUGCAUAGUUCAUUGGGCCUGGAAGACUCACAGAAGACUUAAAAAAAAAGUCUUCAGACACAUCCCACCUAAAUUUUAAUAUAAUUUAUGGUUCCCGCCUAAAUUUUGGAAUAAUUUAGGUUUCCCGCCUAAAUCAAAAUCUUCCAUAAGUCUUCUAGGAGUUUUCCAUAAGUCUUCCAGAGAAAGUCUUCUCAUGGAUUAGAUCUUAAAAAUAAUUUAAAUUUUUUAUAACAAAUAUUUUCAUGGGUUAAAAUUUGAAAUCAUGUAAUAAUAAACAUUUUUCAAUAAUGUAAAUUUAGUUUAUCUGAAAUUGAAUUAUUUUCAACAUAGAUGAGUGAAUGUAGAUUGGUUCAUGAGUUAUUGGUUUAGGGUUUAGUGACAUAUGUUAUAGUAUUGUUGGUAUCUUUAGGGUUAGAUUUGAAAUCUUAUCUUUAUUUUUGUUCUUUUUCAAAUUGACCCAUAUAUGUUUAGUAACUAUUUAAUAAUUUGAUUUAAACGCUUCCUAAGGUUUUUUUUUAAGUUUAAGAAAGUGUUUUUUUUUUCAUAGUUAAUUGAUUUUAGGAUCUGGAAAACUCACAGAAGACUUAAAAAGAAGUUUUCAUACACAUCUCGCCAACAUUUUAGUAGAAUUUAUGGUUCCCGCCUAAAUUUUCGAAUAAUUUAGGUUUCCCGCCUAAAUCAAAGUCUUCCAUAAGUGUUCGAGGAGUCUUCCAUAAGUCUUUCAGAAGUCUCAUGGAUUAGAUUUUAAAAAUAAUUUAAAAUUUUUAUAAAAAUAAUUUCAUGGGUUAAAAUUUGAAAUCGUGUAAUAAUAAACAUUUUUCACUGAUGUAAAUUUAGUUUAUCUCAAAUUGAAUUAUUUUCAACAUAGAUGAGUGAGUAGAUAGGUUCAUGAGUCAUUUGGUUUUUU